GAGUUCCGCGCCGCUAGGGCGCGGGCGGGGUCGGGGGUUGCGUGGCCGGCGCUGCCCGCCCGCCUCGAGUCCGCGUCCCGGGCCCGGGCGGCCGGCGAGCAUGGAGGAGAAGUACCUGCCGGAGCUGAUGGCGGAGAAGGACUCCCUGGACCCCUCCUUCACGCACGCCCUGCGGCUGGUGAACCAAGAAAUAGAAAAGUUUCACAAAGGAGAAGGCAAGGACGAAGAAAAGUACAUUGAUGUGGUGAUUAAUAAGAACAUGAAGCUGGGACAGAAAGUGUUGAUUCCUGUAAAACAGUUCCCUAAGUUCAACUUUGUGGGAAAACUUUUGGGGCCACGUGGCAAUUCUCUGAAGCGCUUACAAGAAGAAACCUUGACAAAAAUGUCCAUCCUUGGAAAAGGCUCCAUGAGAGACAAGGCAAAGGAAGAAGAGUUGAGGAAAAGUGGAGAAGCAAAGUACUUCCACCUGAAUGAUGAUCUCCAUGUUCUGAUUGAAGUGUUUGCCCCGCCAGCAGAAGCCUAUGCCCGGAUGGGACAUGCUCUGGAGGAAAUCAAAAAGUUCCUCAUUCCUGACUAUAAUGAUGAAAUCAGGCAAGCACAGCUCCAGGAAUUAACAUAUUUGAAUGGUGGUUCAGAAAAUGCAGAUGUACCAGUUGUUCGAGGGAAACCUACCUUGCGUACAAGAGGUGUACCAACCCCAGCAAUAACCAGGGGAAGGGGAGGAGUCGUGGCCCGGCCGGUGGGAGUCGGGGUACCGCGAGGGACGCCGACUUCCAGGGGAGUCCUUUCCACGCGAGGGCCAGUGAGUCGAGGAAGAGGACUUCUCACUCCCAGAGCAAGAGGCGUCCCCCCAGCUGGGUACAGACCUCCACCGCCGCCCCCAACACAAGAGACCUACGGAGAUUAUGACUACGAUGAUGGAUAUGGCACUGCUUAUGAUGAACAGAGUUAUGAUUCCUAUGAUAACAGCUAUAGCGCCCCAGCCCAAAGUGGUGCUGAUUACUAUGAUUAUGGACACGGACUCAGUGAAGAGACUUACGAUUCCUACGGGCAAGAGGAGUGGACUAACUCAAGACACAAGGCACCCUCGGCGAGGACAGCAAAGGGCGUCUACAGAGACCAGCCAUACGGCAGAUACUGACUGUACUGUCUGAUGUUGUGACAUAGCCAGGCUCCGCCAGUCCUGUAUACUGUUCAAAGAAAUGUUGGCCGUCUUGGAAAGUGAAAGGAAGGUUGUGUCCGUCCAGCAGACACAGGAACUUUCCUUCCAAUUAUGGACUGCUUAAGAAUAAUCAACUCACCAACGUGCCUAGUCAGUAAAUGAAUUCACUUGAGAACUUGAAAAUCAUCUUUUUUUUUUUUUUUUGUACAACUUUGUGUUUCAUGAAAUGUUUUAUAAAGUAGUAUGCUUUUUAAUUUGGAAAGUCUGUUUGAAAAAGGGAAAGAAAAUCAAUUUCUUUGUCUCCUCAUAACAGAAAACAAAUGAUUUGUGUAUUGCUUAACAAAGGCUGCCCAUUUCAAUCUCUUCUACUUUAAUAUAAACCUAGAAAAACAAAGGCUUGUUAUUUCAGCCCAGCUCUAAAUUCUGCACACUUGAGAACCAUAUAUGGCUGCAACUCACAGCUCACAAGAAGUCAGGCGUCAGCGCAAAUUCCAGCUUUGAAAAUGAUUUAUCCAACUCAGUUAUGGACCAAUAAAGAUGAACAUGUUAUGCCAAAAGUACGCCGCCACAUAGAAGGUUAAUUAUAAAGGCUUCUGCGGGAAGCGGUGGCACUGUCAGAAUAGAAACCCGAUUUUCAUGCCUCUGUAAUUUGUUGUGGAACAUAAAGGUCA